CCUACGGGAGGCAGCAGUGGGGAAUAUUGGACAAUGGGGGGAACCCUGAUCCAGCCAUGCCGCGUGUGUGAAGAAGGCCCUCGGGUUGUAAAGCACUUUCAGUGAGGAAGAACGCCUGGUGGUUAAUACCCAUCAGGAAAGACAUCACUCACAGAAGAAGCACCGGCUAACUCCGUGCCAGCAGCCGCGGUAAUACGGAGGGUGCGAGCGUUAAUCGGAAUUACUGGGCGUAAAGCGCGCGUAGGUGGCUUGAUAAGCCGGUUGUGAAAGCCCCGGGCUCAACCUGGGAACGGCAUCCGGAACUGUCAAGCUAGAGUGCAGGAGAGGAAGGUAGAAUUCCCGGUGUAGCGGUGAAAUGCGUAGAGAUCGGGAGGAAUACCAGUGGCGAAGGCGGCCUUCUGGACUGACACUGACACUGAGGUGCGAAAGCAUGGGUAGCAAACAGGAUUAGAUACCCGGGUAGUC
rnacentral:rRNA from 1 species